GAUGAACGCUAGCGGCAGGCUUAACACAUGCAAGUCGAGGGGUAGAGGCUUUCGGGCCUUGAGACCGGCGCACGGGUGCGUAACGCGUAUGCAAUCUGCCUUGUACUGGGGGAUAGCCCAGAGAAAUUUGGAUUAAUACCCCAUAGUAUUUUCGGUUGGCAUCAACUGAUUAUUAAAGUUUUUCGGUACAAGAUGAGCAUGCGUCCCAUUAGCUAGUUGGUAUGGUAACGGCAUACCAAGGCUACGAUGGGUAGGGGUCCUGAGAGGGGGAUCCCCCGAACGGGGACUGAGAAACGACCCAGGCUCCUACGGGAGGGAGCAGUGAGGAAUAUUGGUCAAUGGUCGCAAGACUGAACCAGCCAUGCCGCGUGCAGGAUGAAGCAUCUAUGGUGUGUAAACUGCUUUUGUACGGGAAGAAACACUCCUACGUGUAGGGGCUUGACGGUACCGUAAGAAUAAGGAUCGGCUAACUCCGUGCCAGCCGCCGCGGUAAAAC
rnacentral:rRNA from 1 species